rnacentral:SRP_RNA from 1 species
GUUGGGCGCGGUGUCGCGUGCCUGUAGUCCCAGCUACUCGGGAGGCUGAGGCUGGAGGAUCGCUUGAGUCCAGGAGUUCUGGGCUGUAGUGUGCUAUGCCUAGCGGGUGUCCGCACUAAGUUCGGCAUCAAUAUGGUGACCUCCGGGGAGUGGGGGACCACGAGGUUGUCUAAGGAGGGGUGAACCAACCCAGGUUGGAAAUGGAGCAGGUCAAAACUCCUGUGCUGAUCAGUAGUGGGAUCGUGCUUGUGAAUAGCCACUGAACUCCAGCCUGGGCAAAAAAGCAAGACCCUGUCUAU